rnacentral:rRNA from 1 species
UGAGAAAUAGCUNCCNCUUCUACGGAGGGCAGCAGGCGCGCAAAUUGCCCAAUGUCAAAAAAAAACGAUGAGGCAGCGAAAAGAAAUAGAGCCGGCAGUGCCACUGGCAUUGCCGUUUUCAAUGGGGGAUAUUUAAACCAUCCAAAAUCGAGUAUCAAUUGGAGGACAAGUCUGGCGCCAGCACCCGC